UACGAAGGGGGCUAGCGUUGCUCGGAAUUACUGGGCGUAAAGCGCGCGUAGGCGGGCCGUUAAGUCGGGGGUGAAAGCCUGGGGCUCAACCUCAGAAUUGCCUUCGAUACUGGCGGCCUGGAGCAUGAUAGAGGCGAGUGGAAUUCCGAGUGUAGAGGUGAAAUUCGUAGAUAUUCGGAGGAACACCAGUGGCGAAGGCGACUCGCUGGAUCAUUGUUGACGCUGAGGCGCGAAAGCGUGGGUAGCAAACAGG
rnacentral:rRNA from 1 species